rnacentral:lncRNA from 1 species
UCCAGUUCUGCUUUGAGUUUCAGAGGCUGCUCCUCUCCGUGUGGUGGAAGAUCACCCCUUCCUGGCGUCCCCCAGAGCUGCCAUUUGAUGCAGAGGCCUGAGGCGAACCCCUGCCCGCACCCCUCCCUGCCAAAUUCCRGGAGCCAGUUGAAUUUCAAAAGUCCGCUGGCCACAGGACUGGUGCGCAGGCUUGGACCUCUGACCACAGCCAGCUGAGCCUGGGAACACGGGCAGCCGCGGACUGCCCAGCCUGGAGCAGCCGUCUUUGACCCCGACCCUCGGAGAAGCAG